AGCUCUGUGCAAUGGCAAUAUCACAGCCAAUGAGGUUUAUCUGAGGCAUGGUUAUUGCUAAUUGAAAAGUUCUCCCAAUUCAU
rnacentral:snRNA from 1 species